UCUUGGUCAUUUAGAGGAAGUAAAAGUCGUAACAAGGUUUCCGUAGGUGAACCUGCGGAAAGAUCAUUAUCGUAGGGCUUCGGCCCUGUCGAGAUAGAACCCUUGCCUUUUUGAGUACCUUUCGUUUCCUCGGCAGGCUCGCCUGCCAAUGGGGACCACAAAAAACACUUUGCAGUACCUGUAACAGUCUGAACAAACAAAACAAAAAUUAAAACUUUCAACAACGGAUCUCUUGGUUCUGGCAUCGAUGAAGAACGCAGCGAAAUGCGAUAAGUAGUGUGAAUUGCAGAAUUCAGUGAAUCAUCGAAUCUUUGAACGCACAUUGCGCCCUUUGGUAUUCCUUAGGGCAUGCCUGUUCGAGCGUCAUUUAAACCUUCAAGCUAAGCUUGGUGUUGGGUGACUGUCCGCUUCACUGCGGACUCGCCUCAAAAUUAUUGGCGGCCGGUACAUUGGCUUCGAGCGCAGCAGAAACGCGAACUCGGGCCCGUCGUAUUGGCUCCCAGAAGCUAUCUUCACAAUUUUGACCUCGGAUCAGGUAGGGAUACCCGCUGAACUUAAGCAUAUCAAUAAGCGGGAGGAA
rnacentral:rRNA from 1 species